GCCUCUGUAGCUCAGAUAGUUAGAGCGCGCUGCACCAGAAUCGCAGGGCCGCUGGUUCGAUCCCUGCCAGGGUUG
rnacentral:tRNA from 1 species